UCUUUAAAUCAAUAAGGAAAAUAAAGCACAGAGUUACUAGGAAACACAGUGCCUUGCUAGCAAACACAGCUAGUAAGUGUUUUUGCUUUUUGCUUGUAAGUCUUUAUUCCCGCCACCACCACCCCACCCUUACUCAUCUCCUUCCUUUUCCUCUGCCCUAAAGAGGCUGAUUUUACAAAUUACAACACCUGGAUUCUGGAGUCCAUGGAUCUUGUUAGGAUUCAGCCCAUGACAGUAACCAUCAGUGAGUGUGGAAUAAAAGAAAGGAGGUUGAGCCACGUGGUAGGAUGGUGCUUCCCUGUCUCCUUGACAUUUGGUGAGGCCAUGCGAGGUCAGUGAAAUGCAUGAACAAGUGGUAUGCAUCACUACCAGCCAGAAGUGCUGAGAACCAGCGUGUGACUACCAUGUGCUCUCCCUCUCCUAUGUGAUUGUGAAAGAACAUGUCAAGUGGAGCUUCCUUCAGAGGUCUCUCCCUGUUCAAAUUCCACUCACCCUUCAGAACCCACUCAAUGACUAUCUGCUCCACGAAGGAUCCUACUCAAUGACUACUCUACUCCAUGAAUGCUCCCUUUGCCUCAGGAAAUAAUCUCUUUCAAGUCUGGACUAUAACACAGUUUCUAAUUGCUUCAUGGUACUUAAUUAUAUAUUUGCAGAAUUUAUUUUUCUCAAUUAUGUUCUAUUUUCCUUUAACCAGUAUUACUUCUUAUGUAUCCAUUAUACUCCCAACAGUACUUUGUGGUAGUGCCUUGAACUUACUGAGCUUCACUGUUGAAUAAUUCAAGGAAUUAGAUCCAAUCCUGGCAUACAAUUUCAUUAUAAUUUAUUAGUAUGAUACAUAAUGUUUUAUUCAUGUGUCAGAAACAAUUUCACAAAACGGGUAGUUUUCUCCUCCUUUUACUCAUAAAUAAUCAAAGGUGAGAUAGGUGAAGUCAUUCUAAAAUGGCAUGGCAUAUUGAUAAGGAAUCCCAAAAGAAUAUAUCCAUCUCUGAUGGAAAACCUCUAGCUCCAGGAGCAGAAAGGGAAGAAAGCUAAGCUUCCACAAUGAGUUAGAUCACACUCUUCAUCCCACAGGGAUAAAGAUUUCACAAACUAGAUAAGGAUCCUUGUAAACAACUGGCUGUUAACAAAUAGUUUUAUUUUUCCUCAGACUCCACCACCAAGUAAACCUACUGUUCCUUGAUACCCUUUGUCCAGGCUGUAGUAAACAAGUACUCAAGAAGUGUUAUGUAAGUGAUGUGACUUAUUGAGAAAUAGAUUUGCCCUUGAAAAGAAAUAUGAAUAGAAUUGCACUUGGCCCCUGUAGUUUGAUCAUUGUAACGUGAAAAAGAUACAGCCUAUCCCAGUUCUUUUGGCUUAAGUGAGCAAAUAAAAUUAAAAGGGACUUGGAGAAUAAUUUUGCUUACUGCUCUGAUUUCAACUUUUCUGAAAUGGGCUUUGAAUAUUAACGUCUACUUCACAAACUUUUCACUAUACUCAGUCCCAAGCAACCCAUAGGAUCACACAGCCAUGCCACCAAUUUCUUUUUCCUUAUAAUUACGUUAAAAUUUAAGUCUUUUGGGGGCCAAAAAUUAAAUCCUAACUAUUCCUUGUAAAACCUGGAGCAAGGCAAUAUCCUACACACCAUCACUUUUUCAUACCCCACCACAAUGUUAACUCUUUGAAACAUCCCUUGAACAGGUUUCUCUCACACUCAUUAGACUCAGAGCUUAAUUAGAUUUCUUUGGAUUUAUAUCAUACAAUGACUUUUAAAUUCUCAUCAUUUUUUAUACAGUACCCAAAUAAAAACAAUCAGAAAGAAUGUACACAGAAACAAUUAUGGAUUUUGAAAGUUGAUAUCAACUUAGAUAUUGGUAUCAAACUAUGUAGGGAAAUUAUCAUU
rnacentral:lncRNA from 10 species